rnacentral:lncRNA from 1 species
CCGUCCAGCUCUCGCUUGUCCAGCGCAGGCCGCGGGAGCUGCCGAGCCUUGGCGAGAAGGGCGGCCUCGGGCGUUUUGUGGACGCGCUCGGCGCUUUCUCCUUGGUUCGGCGCUUACCUCGGACGGCCACCAGCUCGGUUCCCUGAGAGACCCCGGGGAGACUGCGGACGGUGUCGGGAUCCCGGCCCCCGCCUCCCGCAAACGGCGUCCUCCCCGCUCCUCGCUCUGCGCGAAUCCUGCGGGAAGCUCCGAUCUCAGGCAACUGGAUUUUGCUUUUGUGGUUUUUUGUUUGUUUUGUUUGUUUUUUAGCUCACCAGCUUAACCUCGCAGCACUGCCCUUUUAUGAGACUGUAAGACAUCUAAUUAUGUGAUUCUUGCUUAUUUUUACUUUUUUUUUUUUGUCAUUUCUGGAAUACGGCAGUAGUGUCCUUCCUGCAUGGGGGGUGUGUACACAUGCACGCAUACAUAGAGUUCCUGUAUGCACUGCACUCCAGCAAUCGGAUUAAUAAAUUAUUCAUGAACAGAUUUGACAGGAUUAUUAACAAUUUUAUAUGCCGCUGCAAAUAAAGCCAACUGCCAUACACAUUUUGUGCUACUCACCACAUCUAUGG